UACGGGGGGAGCAAGCGUUGUUCGGAUUUACUGGGCGUAAAGGGCGCGUAGGCGGCGCAACAAGUCACUUGUGAAAUCUCCGGGCUUAACCCGGAGCGGUCAAGUGAUACUGUCGUGCUAGAGUGCGGAAGGGGCUACUGGAAUUCUCGGUGUAGCGGUGAAAUGCGUAGAUAUCGGGAGGAACACCGGUGGCGAAGGCGGUUCUCUGGGCCUUACCUGACGCUGAGGAGCGAAAGCGUGGGGAGCGAACAGG
rnacentral:rRNA from 1 species